GAUGAACGCUGGCGGCGUGCUUAACACAUGCAAGUCGAGCGAAGCAUUUUAAAGGAAGUUUUCGGAUGGAAUUUAAAAUGACUUAGCGGCGGACGGGUGAGUAACGCGUGGGUAACCUGCCUCAUACAGGGGGAUAACAGUUAGAAAUGACUGCUAAUACCGCAUAAGCGCACAGUGCUGCAUAGCACAGUGUGAAAAGCUCCGGUGGUAUGAGAUGGACCCGCGUCUGAUUAGGUAGUCGGUGAGGUAACGGCCCACCAAGCCGACGAUCAGUAGCCGACCUGAGAGGGUGACCGGCCACAUUGGGACUGAGACACGGCCCAAACUCCUACGGGAGGCAGCAGUGGGGAAUAUUGGACAAUGGGGGAAACCCUGAUCCAGCGACGCCGCGUGAGUGAAGAAGUAUUUCGGUAUGUAAAGCUCUAUCAGCAGGGAAGAAAAUGACGGUACCUGACUAAGAAGCCCCGGCUAACUACGUGCCAGCCGCCGCCGUAA
rnacentral:rRNA from 1 species